UAUGCUCCCUCUAACAACAAACACAUCUCGCCAAGGUCUCUCGUGUCCGAUGGUGGUGAAGUACACGGCGAUAAAACGCGUCUAGGUCAUAGCGUCCGGCUCGUGUAAUGAGGUUCCCAUCCCAGGUUGACUUUAGCUCAACGAUAAGACACCGGCAAAGUCACAGCAGCAAAUAGAAGACACAACACAACAUGCGUCGUCAUGGCGCUGGUGAUGAGGUAUGAAUCAUAUGUAACAGCAUCCACUCGAUGGAGUAACGAGCUUCAAUGAAGCUAGAACGGCAACGGCUUCAACACCAAUCCACUCCAAACAGUAGGUGGGAGCAUCUACUCACAGGCUCAAUAGUUUUUGGAGUACGAAAUCGUGCUACGUGCUUUGCACCUGCGUUUGACUGACGAAUUAUAUUUUCACUUAUUCUAUAAGGAGCGAAAAAUGCAGAGUUGCAUCAUUAUGAAAAUGUUUCGUUCGUGAUAGAAAAAAGGGGAAAAAAACAUUAAACGCGCCGAAUGAUGUCUAUCUGCUCAUAAAACGUA